UAGAUAUAUAAAAAAAGAAAGAACUAUCUGUAUAUUUAAACAUUUCUUGUAAAAUACCUUCGUGCAAUUGGAAGAAGUCUUUUAUUCUAGCGAAGAGAUUGAAAAGCAAGGUUCUGGAUUGUCACCAUUUGAAAUUAAUUAUAGAUCUGUCUUUGUCAUAGGAAAUAUACGAACUCAUUUUGGUUUAGAAAACUUUUAUUGUUCAAUUAGCUUACCUGAUACAAUGAACAUAAAAGUAUUUAAUGGCACUCAAGAUAAAAUUAUUAUAUAUCAAAGAGUAGCUGAUGUAAAAAUAAGAGAGAUUACUUGCUACACAGUAGUGUACCAAUUCAUACAAAGAAAGAAUAAAGUUGAUGAAAAAAAAGUCGCUUAACUCCAUAAAACAAAGAAGAAAGCAGUUUCGUGCAAUUUGGUUUUACUGAAGUAGUUAAUGAAAGUGAUAUAUGCGUUUUUAUAAAA